GAGCAGAUUAACAGCGAGCAUGUUAAGAGCAACAGUUAAGCAGGGUGGACGAACAACAGUGAGCUUGUUAAAUGAUUAAAAUAAGAUUUAGAUUAAGAUUUCAGAUUUUGAUAAAGAGAAUGGGUGCCAUACAUCAGUCACUUUUUUUGCAUCAGACCUCACAUUAAAUCAGGGAUGAAACGAGAGAUGUCGUCCUCUGUUGCUGGUCUAUCUGUAUGAAUAAGAGGAAGAGCUCAUCCAGGAGUGCAAGUGUGGGAUUGCAGAGAAUUUCUGUCUACCAGAGGGAUGACCAACCAUGAAAACUUCUGCAUUGUCUUAGAGGAUGAGUGAGUCAUAGCUGGUUUGCAAAAUUUAAAAUUGCUGAACUGGAUUUAUACAUGUAUUCCCCAAAUUAAAAUCACUUAAAAAAAAAA
ensembl:processed_transcript